GAUGAACGCUGGCGGCGUGCUUAACACAUGCAAGUCGAACGGUGAAGCCCGGGCUUUGUCUGCUGGAUCAGUGGCGAACGGGUGAGUAACACGUGAGCAAUCUGCCCCUGACUCUGGGAUAAGCGCUGGAAACGGCUGCUAAUACUGGAUACGAGCUGCGAUUGCAUCUUCAGCUGCUGGAAAGAAUUUCGGUCAGGGAUGAUCUCGCGGCCGAUCAGCUUGUUGGUGAGGUAGUGGCUCACGAAGGCGUCGACGGGUAGCGGGCCUGAGAGGGUGACCGGCCACAUUGGGACUAGGAUCCGGCCCAGACUCCUAGGGGAGGCAGCAGUGGGGAAUACUGAACCAUGGUGGAGAGCCUGAUGGAGAAACGCCGCGUGAGGGACGAUGGCCUCCGCGUUGUAAACCGCUUUUGCCGCGGAAGAAGCGGAAGUGACGGUACUUGCUGAAAAAGCGCCGGCUAACUACGUG
rnacentral:rRNA from 1 species